GCACGCCGAUAGCUACUAUAUUUGAGCGUCAAUCACAUCUUCCCCAUUUUUUUUCUUUUUCCUUUGGGUCCUUAAACUUGAGAUAGAUGUUGAGGUAGAAUCUGAGAAAGACGAAGAAGAGGAAAGGCUGAGAAUUAAGGUGAAGAGAUAAAGAUAACCAAGAAGGGAUAGAUAGCCAUGGCAGAAGCUUCGCGUUUACAGACACCUUCUGGUUGUUUGCGUCGAUUUGAACACCACAAAAAGAAUUAAGAGGGCAGUUGGUUUUCACGCGAAAUCAGGAGGCCUCUGGUUUUUCUUGUAUUUCAGAGUGUACCGGUGGAGCUAGGAUCUCUACUUAGUAUGGUUGGAAAGCUUAUUCAAUGCACUACAACUUGUAUGAAGAAAUUGUGAGCUAAAUAUGAUUAGAAGCUAAAUUGAAGUGGGGAAAGCGUAAAAUCCUGGGGGAUCGAGUAAUUGAUUGUAGCGGUCAAGGACCAAGCAUUGGUUGUGCUUUUCUGUCAUUGAUUGUGCUUUUCUGUCAUUAAUUGUAGUUUCUCAUUCUUGUUGUAUGUAUAUAUUUAUGUGUAGUAUUCAAUUAUUGGGUGAUUAGAAGAAGCGAGAGUCAUGAUGAGAAUUUGAGUUUGAGAGGUCUUUUAUUAAAUUGUAAUCCUUUUGUAACUAGUUCGUAGUUGAAUAUAAAUUCUGAAUGAGAUUCUGUGAUUGUCUAGAUGAGUGUGUGGUGAGACACACUCGAUGAUAUUUGAGUUUUUGAAAA